rnacentral:rRNA from 1 species
UACGAAGGGGGCUAGCGUUGUUCGGAAUUACUGGGCGUAAAGCGUGCGCAGGCGGCUUCUCAAGUCAGGGGUGAAAGCCCAGAGCUCAACUCUGGAAUUGCCUUUGAGACUGAGUGGCUUGAGUACGAGAGAGGUGAGUGGAAUUCCCAGUGUAGAGGUGAAAUUCGUAGAUAUUGGGAAGAACACCGGUGGCGAAGGCGGCUCACUGGCUCGUAACUGACGCUCAUGCAACGGACAGCGUGGGGGAGCAAACAGG